rnacentral:rRNA from 1 species
CACGUAGGGUGCGAGCGUUGUCCGGAAUUAUUGGGCGUAAAGAGCUCGUAGGCGGUGUGUCGCGUCGGCCGUGAAAACCUGCAGCUUAACUGUGGGCCUGCGGUCGAUACGGGCAUCACUGGAGUUCGGCAGGGGAGACUGGAAUUCUGGUGUAGCGGUGAAAUGCGCAGAUAUCAGGAGGAACACCGGUGGCGAAGGCGGGUCUCUGGGCCGAUACUGACGCUGAGGAGCGAAAGCGUGGGGAGCGAACAGG